CCUACGGGUGGCAGCAGUGGGGAAUAUUGCACAAUGGGGGAAACCCUGAUGCAGCGACGCCGCGUGAGUGAAGAAGUAUCUCGGUACGUAAAGCUCUAUCAGCAGGGAAGAAAAUGACGGUACCUGACUAAGAAGCCCCGGCUAACUACGUGCCAGCAGCCGCGGUAAUACGUAGGGGGCAAGCGUUAUCCGGAUUUACUGGGUGUAAAGGGAGCGUAGACGGCAGCACAAGUCUGGAGUGAAAUCCCGGGGCUUAACCCCGGAACUGCUUUGGAAACUGUGCGGCUGGAGUGCUGGAGAGGCAAGCGGAAUUCCUAGUGUAGCGGUGAAAUGCGUAGAUAUUAGGAAGAACACCAGUGGCGAAGGCGGCUUGCUGGACAGUAACUGACGUUGAGGCUCGAAAGCGUGGGGAGCAAACAGGAUUAGAUACCCUUGUAGUC
rnacentral:rRNA from 1 species